AUUGAACGCUGGCGGCAUGCCUUACACAUGCAAGUCGAACGGUAACAGGUCUUCGGAUGCUGACGAGUGGCGAACGGGUGAGUAAUACGUCGGAACGUGCCUAGUAGUGGGGGAUAACUACUCGAAUGAGUGGCUAAUACCGCAUGAGAUCUACGGAUGAAAGCAGGGGAUCGCAAGACCUUGUGCUACUAGAGCGGCAGAUGGCAGAUUAGGUAGUUGGUGGGAUAAAAGCUUACCAAGCCGACGAUCUGUAGCUGGUCUGAGAGGCCGAUGAGCCACACUGGGACUGAGACACGGCCCAGACUCCUACGGGAGGCAGCAGUGGGGAAUUUUGCACAAUGGGCGCAAGCCUGAUCCAGCAAUGCCGCGUGCAGGAUGAAGGCCUUCGGGUUGUAAACUGCUUUUGUACGGAACGAAAAGCCCCGGGUUAAUACCCUGGGGUCAUGACGGUACCGUAAGAAUAAGCACCGGCUAACUACGUGCCAGCCGCCGCCGUAA
rnacentral:rRNA from 1 species